rnacentral:sRNA from 1 species
UGCAUGUCCGCCUGACGGAAAGCCUUAAGGUACUCUGUAGUCGCCACCUUGAACUCUCGGGUUCAAGGGCCUACGCGGGCAGCGGCAUGCUGGGGAGCCU